CAGUCGCCGCGGUAAUACGAAGGGUGCAAGCGUUAAUCGGAAUUACUGGGCGUAAAGCGUGCGUAGGCGGUGAGUUAAGUCUGCUGUGAAAUCCCCGGGCUUAACCUGGGAACUGCGCUUGUGACUGCACAGCUAGAGUAUGGCAGAGGGGGGUGGAAUUCCACGUGUAGCAGUGAAAUGCGUAGAGAUGUGGAGGAACACCGAUGGCGAAGGCAGCCCCCUGGGCCAAUACUGACGCUGAGGCACGAAAGCGUGGGGAGCAAACAGGAUUAGAUACCCCUGUAGUCCCUGUCUCUUAUAC
rnacentral:rRNA from 1 species